GAUGGAUCAGAAGGGCAGAGGGCAGGAGAGGCAGUCAGAGCAGAGAGAAGAUACUGGCACAAACCGCAGCAGAGGAACUCAGGGAAGGUGUUAGAGCAUCAGAAAAGGGGUCAGAGCCAUAGUUCACCUUGGGAAAGAAGAGAAAUCAGCAGAAGAUGAGGUCCUGGACAGAUUAUUUUGGUAUAAUCAGCACCCCGGACAGCUUUAGAAAUGUAUUAUCUUGGUUAAUGCACAUCCUGCUGAGACUUAUUGUAAUGAAUGGAAUGUAGUGGAAGAGCCAUGUAUACCACACUAUAUACAACAGAAGUGUGAUAUCGAUAACCUCCUUAAGCAGACUGCUAACCACCUCCAGCUGGGAUAGUCAA